UAUGGUGAUGGUUGUUGUUUACCGAGGUAGAGCCUCGCUCUCUCUCUUGUUGGGAUGUCAAUUGAGUUGCAGCGAGCAAGGAAGCGAUGUCCAGGCCAAGCCCGCUUUAGCUGCUCUACCGCUCUUGUUUUCAGAAGCGACCUGCCCACAACAACAACAAGGCCAAGCCCGCUUUAGCUGCUCUACCGCUCUUGUUUUCAGAAGCGACCUGCCCACAACAACAACAAGCUGUCACUUCUUCUGCAUAAUUAAUCUAAUGGAGCAAAGGCACUCUGCACGGCUCGGUGCAUACAGCACGGAUCGUACUGGAAAUUUGACACGGCACCAGGGAACUCGCACAAGAGAGAAACCCUUCAAGUGCAGUGUGUGUGGGAAGGCAUUUUCACAUCCAUCUGCUCUUCAAAAACACCAGAGAACACACACAGGAGAGAAACCCUUCAAGUGCAGUGUGUGUGGGAAGGCAUUUGCACGUUCAUGUCCUCUUGUAAUACACCAGAGAACACACACGGGAGAGAAACCCUUCAAGUGCAGUGUGUGUGGGAAGGCAUUUGCACGUUCAUGUUCUCUUGUAAUACACCAGAGAACACACACGGGAGAGAAACCCUUCAAGUGCAGUGUGUGUAGGAAGGCGUUUGCACAGUCAUCUACUCUUGCAAUGCACCAGAGAACACACACGGGAGAGAAACCCUUCAAGUGCAGUGUGUGUGCGAAGGCAUUUGCACAUUCAAUUUCUCUUGUAGCACACCAGAGAACGCACACAGGAGAGAAACCCUUCAAGUGCAGUGUGUGUGGGAAGGCGUUUGCACAGUCAUCUACUCUUGUAGAACACCAGAGAACACACACGGGAGAGAAACCUCUCAAGUGCCGUGUGUGUGGGAAGGCGUUUGCACGGUCAUCUACUCUUGGAAAACACCAGAUAACACACACGGCAGAGAAAUCCUUCAAGUGCAAUGUGUGUGGGAAGGGGUUUGCACGUUCAUCUACUCUUGUAGACCACCAGAGAACACACACAGGAGAGAAACCCUUCAAGUGCAGUGUUUGUGGGAGGGCGUUUGCACUUUCAUCUCCUCUUGUCGCACACCAGAGAACACACACGGGAGAGAAACCCUUCAAAUGCAGUGUUUGUGGGAAAGCGUUUGCACAGUCAUCUACUCUUGGAAUACACCAGAGAACGCACACAGGAGAGAAACCCUUCAAAUGCCGUGUGUGUGGGAAGGCGUUUGCACAGUCAUCUACUCUUGUAGAACACCAGAGAACACACACGGGAGAGAAACCUCUCAAGUGCAGUGUGUGUGGGAAGGCGUUUGCACGUUCAUCUCGUCUUGUAGCACACCAGAGAACACACACGGGAGAGAACCCCUUCAGGUGCACUCCUUGCAGGAAGACGUUUGCACUUGCAUCAAAUCUUCACGCACACCAGAGAACACACAAGCAUCAGAAGAUCCAGAAGGAGUGGAGUCUGAAAUCAGCUUGUGAAAGUCAAAGUGCCGCAAUGAGCCCAUCCCUCAUUAAACAAGAACUGGAAGAAAAGCCCAGGUUGGACACUUUUAAAGGUAUCAAGGUGAAAUAUGAAGAGGUGAAGGUGAAAUCUGAAGAAGUGUUGGUCAAGAGCGAAGAAGUGAAGGUAAAAUGUGAAGAUGAAGAUUUAACUCCAAAAUCAGACCUUCACGUCGAUAGAGGCAACAUGAAGCAGGAGGAGAAUUCUGACUGUGAGGCAGAGCGAGGCAACUCCCAGAAGUUUGUGGAAGUUGAGGUGUGGGUGGACUUCCUCUGUAACAAUACAAAGUCAAAUGUAGACCCGGUAGAUGUGUAGCUUGAGAUUAUGUCGCUCCAAUAGACGCACCUUUGUCACAGGCCUUUAAUGACAAGAAUGUGAAGUUGAACGCACAAUUCCUAGGUUCAACCUGCAGGGUAAGAGCGGCCAGUCUUUGUGGACUUGUGGGUUGCGUAGAUCUCUAACCAGGAGUGAGAGCCAAUAAGCACCCAAGCAUUCGCUAUGUAAUCAUAAUUGCAUUUACAUGGUGCUUGCUUAAUCGCCUCAGCAACUUGGAGUUUUGUAUCGUAUCUCGUCUCAAACACUCGAAGAGCAUCCCCAAGUAGCAGCUGCCCCUGUGUGGCACAAGGAGGUGGCCCUACACCGGCCUGCAUGUGGACAAGAGCCUGUCAGUAGGGGGCGGUGGUUGAUGUGGCAUCUUAGUUGUGGAGUUUGUAGGUAAUGUUUUAGAAUUUGAUAAAUUUUGACCCAGAUGCCAGCAUGCAAUGGCCUCGUUUUCAAUUACACAAUAUUAUGUUGUCCAUACACUGUUAAGCAGACGGUGCGUAUUUUUUAAAAUAACUUAUUGUUAAUACGAUGUAACCUGAUUCGGCAUAAUUAGGUGCAGUAAUUAAAUUUUGUUAAAAUGACUCAAUAAUUUAGAAUUAAUACUUGUCUGAUUUUGUCUAUAAGGGUCAAACAUUGAUUAAGUGAUGUUAGGACAAAGUGUGUGUUUUGGAAGUAACCUGGAUAGUUCACUCUGGUGAGACCCGUUGUUUUUGUGAUACAGGUCAAAGGGUUAUUUUGUGUUUUCAGGAAGUAUCUCCCUUUGGAGCAACUCAUUGUCUUUGUAAUAGUGAGCUCAUUCGGAUCAUUCAUCAGUUACAAGGCAUACCACUCAAAAGUUACACGAAUAUGAGGUACAUUCUCUACAACACGAAUUAUAAUUUUGUAUUACAUGUUGAUGUAGAUUUUGUCGAACUAGGACUAGAAAUUCUCCUUGCUAAUUAACGUCUGAAUGUUCACAACCAUGGGUUGAAGCAAGCCCCUCACAACCUUUUACGACCUUGGGCCAGGAAAGUCAUGAAAAAAAACUGCGCACGAACGACGCAUCCACGCAAGCUCCCGAUGGUCCGUUUUGAAGUUUGAAAAUGAAACAACGUUGAAUUGUAUUAUAUUUUGAAUUAGAUAAUUGUAUUUCUUCAUUAAAAGCUUAUAUCAUUUUACAUCUGGUAGACUUAAUCUAAAACGACAGUUCGUAUAAAUUUCCUCUCGUCGUUAAGUAGAUGGCCUUGCCGGGGAUUUGGUUCAAUGCGGACUUUCACCUUGUUGGGAUCGCGGGAUCGAGAUAAGGCGACACAGAGCUGGCUGUGCGAGAAGACCGCCGUCCGUAGAUCGAUUCCAACGUGAUCGAACGUCUGUCCCUGCGCCUCCGUCGUUCAUACAGGGGGUGUGUAGGUUUGCAGCGCCCCCUGCAUGAAAACGACGGAAAGUGCAGCGUUCGUCACAGAUAGAUGAAGUUGUGCGCUUAUAUAAGAGUAUAGCCAGUGGGUUUCAAAGUACCUUUGUCUUACAGCAAUCAAUUUCGCGUGAGCCCAACGCAUUAAAACAAUGCUCAGCUGAGCGGGGCAAGCCACGGUGUGGGGGGGUGAGGCACCUUAUAUAUGUCACGUGCCGUAGCUCACGUGACUUCUGCCGCGAAAAUGUCUGGAUGUUUUAAUCUGAUGACGACUGCUUGUGUUGUGAUCGAAACGUCGCGAUUUAUUUUAUUAUUUUAUUUUUUCUACGUACGUGACUUUACCGAAAGAACCAAAGAGUAUGAAAGACGUCUUAUCUGCUGAUCUUGUUCAUAUCUGUGUACAUCGAUAUCCCACAUUGCUUACAUGUACACGCCACACUGAAAUUAAUAUAAACUAGAACGACUUCCGGGGAUGGGCAAAGAUCGAGAAAACUCUUUCCAUGGAGCGAGUUAAGUGUUUUCGAUUCAACAUCUCUGUCCGUCUUUGUCUCUGUUGCCUCUGUGUGUCUCUGUCUCCUCUAUCUUUCUCUGUCUCUGUAUUCCUCUUGUCUGUGUCUGUCCGCCUGUCUUGUCUGUGUGUGUCUGUCUAUCAGCGUCUGUCACACCGGAGUCAACGACUGUCAAUAGCAGCACACGCCCGUUUAACUCCCACGGCUACACGCCACUCAAACUUGCUCCGAACACACAAAGACAAAGAUCCCCCAUAUAGCCUGGACAGAAUGUCGGGGCAAGUGCCCAAGCCUUGUCCCUCGUUUUCAUGAGCUUAGUAAUCAAAGGAUCAAACCAUGGUGGGCGGUUCCCUUUAGUUUUAAAUAUAACCAACGGAGCAUGUUUGUCAAGAAUUUGAAGAAACGUGUACCUGAAGAUCUCCCAAGCCGUAGUCAGGUUUGGGAUUUCAGAGACCUUGUCAAUAUCCAAGUGAAGCACAUCAUUAGUAAAUGCCUGAAUGCUCAAGUGUCUCAUGGAGUGCUUCUCAACCAAUUUAGGGGGGGCUUUGGGUCUGGCUGAUGAUCUCACCCCAAAUAUGAAGGAGUGAUCACUAAGGUUAUUACCCAGAACACCAGUCAGUGCGAUAUUGUGAGGGUCAUUUGUCAAUAGGACGUCAAGCAGACAUGACUAUCCCGGAUUUUUUAGGUUGGGUCUUGUGGGGACAUUUAUUUAUUGAAAUAGGUUAAAUUCAUCUGUAAAAUUUGUGGCCACGGCCUGCGAUUUUAGCCAAUUCCAAUUUAGAUCACACACUAAAACGAUUUCACCUUUAGGGAGGCCCCCAAGAAGCUCUCUCAGUGCAGACGCAGCUUCAACAUCCCUACCACUAGGUGGUCUAUAGCAGCACACUACCAAUAUCUGUUGAUUAUUUGGGAGAGUUAUUCUGAGAGCAAGACCUUCAAAGCAAGUUUUUUUAAACAAGGAGUGAGCUGGUGAACAUGCAAUAGUAUUACAAAUAUAGAUGGCAAUUCCACCUCCUUUAGAUCCUCGGUCAAGCCCAAAGAGGUUGUAGUUGUCAAUCGUAAUCUGCAAGUCAUUUACAGGAGGAGUGAGAAAUGUUUGUUAGGCAAACAAUGUCCGGGUCCAGACUUGCCAGUUCUAGUUUUAGUUUACUUAAUUUAAUCACAAGCCCUCUGAUGUUGACGUGUAGAACACCAACACCUUUUCUGCCAGAAAAAUCUACGUAAUUAUACGUUUUCUUUGAGCCAGGAUGACGCUCAAUACCACCCAGAAAUAAGAAAAGUAGAAUUAAUAGUUUGCACAGGUAUUUUCUGUGAAAGGAUGAAGAGCGGCGAACCUUGGACGAAUAUCAGCAACUCGCAGAUGGUGAUAUUCUUAAGAGCAGAAUGAAGUUUGGAAGGAGUGCUGGUGAAGUCAUGGGACAAAGAUAGGGUUGAAAAGGAUUCAAUGAUGGAGUGUAUAAUUGUCUAUACGCUGUUUCAUUAGCAGGUGUAGUGGCAAAUUGAGCAACAAGUAUGGACGCGAAGUAACCAGGGUAGCCGUUUGUAGAGUUGAGUGUGGCACUAGAUAUGGCCGGGAGGGACAACAGUAGGAUAUACAGCAGGAGAAUUGCCAUCUUUAAAAUAUCAGGGGUAUACUCUUAGUUCUUUCAGUAAAGUCACGUAGGUAAAAAAUGAAAUAAAAAUUUAUAAAAAUAAAACAAUGAAAAUCACGACGUCGUGAUUCACUUUGCAGGAUCAAAGGUGCAACAUCAAUACCUUUGUCAAGAAGGUUUAUCUUGCCUACUUAAAAAAUUGGGCUCCUCACAAAGUGUGUAAAAUCUGUGUUGAAACUUUGCGAUCAUGGUCUAAAGGAAAGAAUGCUAAGCUGAAGUUUGGUGUGCCAAUGGUUAGGAGAGAACCUACAAACCAUUUGGAUAACUGCUACUUCUGCCUUGUCAAUGUAAAAGGUUUCAAUAAGAAAAACAAACAACAUUUACAAUACCCAGAUAUCCCAUCUACCAGACGACCAGUUGAGCACUGUGAGGAAAUACUUGUGCCUGUAUUAACUGAGCUACCAGAGAUUUAUGCUGAAUCCCUCAGUUUACCUGUUUAUACAGAUGAUGAUGAUGCUCAGAUAGAAUAUACGUCAUCUGAUGCAGAUUGUGAUAAAAUGUAUCUGUUUAGUCAGCUUGAAUUGAAUGAUCUUGUAAGAUAUUUGUAUUUACCAAAGCAGUCUGCUGAAUUGUUGGCUUCCAGGCUGCAAGAGAAAGGACUACUCAGACCUGGUACUACUGUCCCCUUUUAUCGUAACAGAGAAGCAGUACUUCCAUUCAGAUGGUCAACUUGUUUAUUGUAAUGAUGUUGAAGGGCUUCUUCUCAAUAUGGGACUGCCCGCAUAUGAUUAAAGUGAAUGGAGACUUUUUAUUGACAGUAGUAAAAGGAGUUUGAAAUGUGUGUUACUUCACAACAGAAAUAUAUAUGGUUCAAUCCCAAUAGGACACUAAAAAUGAAUGAAGAAUAUGCCAACAUCAAGAUUGUUCUGGAUAGAUAGGAAUACCAUGUUCAUGGAUGGCUAAUUUGUGUUGAUUUGAAAAUGGUUACUUUUCUGCUGGGUCAGCAAGGAGGUCACACCAAAUACCCUUGUUUCCUGUGCUACUGGGACAGUAGGGCUACAUUAGAAUACUGGGUUAAACAGAACUGGCCACCAAGAAUCAGUUUGACGCCUGGUGACAAGAACAUCAAGAAUGAGCCUCUGGUUGAUAGGAAUAAAAUUGUAUUUCCCCCACUGCACAUAAAACUUAGGUUAAUGAAGCACUUUGUCAAAGCUCUUGAUCACACUGGAGACUGCUUCAGCUAUAUAUGUUCAACCUUUUCAAGUCUCAGUGCCGAGAAGAAAAGGCAGGAAUAUUUGUUGGCCCUCAAAUAAGAACACUCAUCAGGGAUCCACAAUUUGUUACGACUGCGGCAGAGGCUAGAGCUUGGAAUGCAUUAUCUGAUGUGGUGCGGAAUUUCCUUGGGAACAGGAAAGUGGACAACUAUCGAGAGAUUGUGGAGGAGCUGCUCUUGAGUUUCCAAGCACUUGGAUGUAGAACGAGCAUCAAGGUUGCAUAGUCACUUGGCUCAGUUUCCAGAGAACAUGGGUCACGUGAGUGAAGAGCAAGGUGAACGCUUUCGUCAAGACAUUAAAGUUAUGGAAGAACGUUACCAAGACCAUAUGGGACUCAAACAUGAUGGCAGAUUAAUGCUGGUCCUUGAUGAGAGACAUUCCACAAGCUGUACAUCGGAGAUCGUCAAAGAAGAGGUCGUUUAUCGAGAUGUAACAUCACUAUUGUGAAUGACCUUUUUGUACAUAUUUUUAUUAUCUUCACAAUUCAAUUCUUACAUGGUAAUAUACAUUCACUCACAUUGAUAUGCAGUCACUCUCACAACUUUGUGCUACGGCUCAUUAAAUGUUUGUUUCAUUAUUAUUGUAUCUUAUCUUAUUCUUGUAUGGAUGUCUUUAGCUAUUUGUAUAUGAGCAUACAUUUGCUGAUUUGAUUGAAAAUGCAAUAUUUCAUAUCCCAAAAAUCUGAUGUGAUAGACAAAAACUGAUGCCAGAUUUGGAAUCAGCACCCCAAAAUUACCUUAAAACCGUUGGAAUACCUUAUGCCAGAAAAAGUGUGACCAGUGUAAUUUUUAACUCAAUAAACAAAUAAAAAUAAACCCAACAUUUCAAUAAAUAUCCUUGUAUUUGUAUUACAAUAAAUAUAGACACGUACAUUUAUAUUUGAAAGUGCAUAAAUGUACACAAAUUAACAAAAAAACAAUACAAAAGCGGAGUGCUUUAGUCAAGGCACUAACGGACUAGGCCCUAAAUCACAUUCAAACUCAUUAACACAUUAACACUAAAUAAACGUAAUCUUGUUCUCUCUGCCUGUGUCCUUUCUUUGGAAUUUUCACACUUAAAUUCUAACUUAGCAAUCUUUGAAAUACGUAAUCAACCGGGCUAUGCGUUAAUUGUGUGCUGACCGACUCUCUGUGUUGCAUUACAUUACAUUUCGAUAUUUUACUAGGUUAUUUAAUUUUAGUGUGCCUUUCUAAUUUUCAAGCUUGUGUACUGUACCACGUUGCCAUCUUGCUUACCCGCUGUCUGUUCUCUCUGCCUGGGUCCUCUCUUUGGAAUUCUCACACUUAAAUUCUAACUUAGCAAUCUUUCAAAUACGUAAUCAACCGGGCUAUGCGUUAAUUGUGUGUUGACCGACUCUCUGUGUUGUAUUACAUUCUUCUUCUUUAGUGCUGCCUAACGGCGUGUGCGACUUCACGAUGAUAUUGGUCCCGGUCUAGCACGGCGUGUAGAGUUUGUGCUGUUGUUAAUUGUAGCCAUGUUUUGAUGUUACUGAGCCAUGUCGUUUUUGGCCGUCCUAGUCGUUUUUUCCCUUCGAUUUUUCCUUCCAGGAUUUGCUUUAAUAGCUGGUAUUUGUGGUCGUUUCGGGCAAUGUGGCCUAGGUAGUAACACUUCCUGCUAAUGAUGGUCUUCAGCAGUUGCCUGUCAGUGCCCAUAUCUUGCAGAGCUUGUGUAUUGGUGGUUUUGGCUGUCCAUGGGAUUUUCAGCAUUCUUCGAUACAGCCACAUCUCGAAAGCUUCGAGCCUUUUUGUUGCUGUUGUUGUCAGUGUCCACGUCUCUACUCCGUACAGCAAAAUUGACCAGAUGUAGCAUUUCAGUGUGCGCAGUUUGAGUGAUGUACUCAAGUUGCGGUCUGCAAGGAGUGUUUUCCAUUUAAUAAAUGCUUGCCUUGCUUGUUCAAUUCUGCUCUUGAUUUCGACUUCAUGGUUCAACUGAUCGUCAAUUAUUACACCAAGGUAUUUAAAUCGGUGUACUUGUUCCAAUUUUUCGCUGCCCAGCUUGAUUGUUAUUUCGCUUGUAGUUCGGCUGACCUUCAUAACCUUUGUUUUCUUUUUAUUAAUUCGUAAGCCCCAUAUUUGACUCUCUGUGGCAACCUCGUCCAAGAUUUGUUGUAGGUCUUGUUCUGAAUCGGCCAGCAGUGCAGUGUCGUCGGCAUACCUGAUGUUGUUGAUGUAUUGUCCAUUGACUUUAAUACCAAUGUUUUUAUCUGUUAGUGUUCGAUCAAAAAUCUGCUCCGAGUAGAUGUUGAAAAGACUGGGUGAAAGUGGGCAGCCCUGUCGUACACCUUUUUGUAUUGGUGUUGGGUCUGUCAAUUCGUUGUCAUAUCAGAGUUGGGCUGUUUGCUUCCAAUAAAGAGCAAUGAUGAAUCUUCUUGGUUCUUUCGGUAAAGUCACGUAGAAGGGAAGUAAUAAAAUAAUAAAAAUAAAACAUAAUAAAACAAUUCUCACGACGUUUCGGCCACAACGCAAGCAGCCG